rnacentral:rRNA from 1 species
AUUGAACGCUGGCGGCAUGCCUUACACAUGCAAGUCGAACGGCAGCACGGGAGCAAUCCUGGUGGCGAGUGGCGAACGGGUGAGUAAAGUAUCGGAACGUGCCCAGUCGUGGGGGAUAACGUAGCGAAAGUUACGCUAAUACCGCAUACGAUCUAUGGAUGAAAGCGGGGGAUCGCAAGACCUCGCGCGAUUGGAGCGGCCGAUAUCAGAUUAGGUAGUUGGUGGGGUAAAGGCUCACCAAGCCGACGAUCUGUAGCUGGUCUGAGAGGACGACCAGCCACAGUGGGACUGAGACACGGCCCAGACGCCUACGGGAGGCAGCAGUGGGGAAGUUUGGACAAUGGGCGCAAGCCUGAUCCAGCCAUGCCGCGUGCAGGAUGAAGGCCUUCGGGUUGUAAACUGCUUUUGUACGGAACGAAAAGGUUUGACUUAAUACGUUGGACUCAUGACGGUACCGUAAGAAUAAGCACCGGCUAACUACGUGCCAGCCGCCGCGGUAA